AUGAAUCUGUUGUGCUGGAAUUGUCGUGGGAUUGGCAACGCCCCGACAAUUCAAGAGCUACGCGAACUCGCGAAAAAGUUUGCCCCUAGAGUACUUGCCAUUGUUGAAACACAGAUUAGUAGUGUUAGAGCUGAAAAUCUGAAAAGUACUGUAGGAUAUGAUAACUCUUUUGCUGUUGAUUCCUCCGGUAGGAGUGGAGGUUUAGCUUUGUUUUGGAAUAAUAAAAUAGAAGUUGAGAUUUUGGAUUACUCGAAGUAUCAUACCAUGCGAAAAUUAGUGAUCUUGGUGGAGACCCAUGGCGUUUUUCCUUUUUUUAUGGUGAGGCUCAAACUCACCUUCGUCAGAACACGUGGGACACAAUGA
rnacentral:rRNA from 1 species